UACGUAGGGUGCAAGCGUUAAUCGGAAUUACUGGGCGUAAAGCGUGCGCAGGCGGUUGUGUAAGACAGAUGUGAAAUCCCCGGGCUCAACCUGGGAACUGCAUUUGUGACUGCACAGCUGGAGUGCGGCAGAGGGGGAUGGAAUUCCGCGUGUAGCAGUGAAAUGCGUAGAGAUCCGGAGGAACACCGAAGGCGAAGGCAGUGUCCUGGCGAGUAUCCUGACGCUGAGGUGCGAAAGCCAGGGGAGCGAACGGG
rnacentral:rRNA from 1 species